rnacentral:lncRNA from 1 species
CCCCGUUUACAUUAAUUUUUCUUCAUAUGAAUGUUUCAGUUUUCCAUUAUGCACGUGAAUCUAAAUGCUAUGUAAAUGAUGUCUAUGUCAAGCAUCUAACAUACUACUGAGGUCAAGAGUCGUGCAAUCAAGAGGUUUCAACCAGAACUAUUAAGGUUAAUAUGCAGGGUUAUUUAAACUGUUACAGAAACAUAUGAGUCUAUUACACAGCUAGGCACUCGUCUCAGAAUUGUUUUUUUUUUCUAUAUAUACUUUAAUGUAACUUUGACUAGCUUGCUUGGUAACUGAACCGUGAAGUCAUUAUUAUAUUAGGUAGACUACCCUCCUUUUAGUGUAGACUAGUCCGACAGAUAACCGAUCGACCUG